rnacentral:rRNA from 1 species
AGUGAACGCUGGCGGUAGGCCUAACACAUGCGAGUCGAACGGCCGCACAGUAAGAGCUUGCUCUUACGGGUGGCGAGUGGCGGACGGGUGAGGAAUACAUCGGAAUCUACUUUUUCGUGGGGGAUAACGUAGGGAAACUUACGCUAAUACCGCAUACGACCUACGGGUGAAAGCAGGGGAUCUUCGGACCUUGCGCGAUUGAAUGAGCCGAUGUCGGAUUAGCUAGUUGGCGGGGUAAAGGCCCACCAAGGCGACGAUCCGUAGCUGGUCUGAGAGGAUGAUCAGCCACACUGGAACUGAGACACGGUCCAGACUCCUACGGGAGGCAGCAGUGGGGAAUAUUGGACAAUGGGCGCAAGCCUGAUCCAGCCAUACCGCGUGGGUGAAGAAGGCCUUCGGGUUGUAAAGCCCUUUUGUUGGGAAAGAAAAGCAGCAGGUUAAUACCCCGCUGUUCUGACGGUACCCAAAGAAUAAGCACCGGCUAACUUCGUG